AAUUCUUGAAUUAUGUAGCACCUUAUGUAAUUAUUUAAAAUCGAACGAAGUUCAUUACAGUGAUUCAAAAUAGGCAGCACAUCCAAACUAAUCGAUAUUCAGAAACUCAAACCUUAAAAUAAUUCCAUGUGUGCAAAAAUGAAGUUUUUAUUUUCUUUUUCUUCCUCAGUUUGCACCAGAUUAUAGUCAUUUGUAGGCUUUCUCGCUGCUUUUUGAUUUGUUGUGGAAAAGAAGUGUCAGAGGCUGUUUUUGUGCACAUGGGGCACGCUCUCUCGUUCGGUUACGAGUUAAUCAAUAAAGGGUUUUCGGAGAGGGGUGGCUUAGCACCAUCAUUCACUAUUAUUACUGACAGCCUGUAAUUGAUCAUUGCUCAGAAACACGUAGCGUUUGACCGCAUAAUUGACCAGCAUGAGCAACAUGGGUUGGUAAAGGGGAAAAAAUACUAGUCCUAAAAUAGUCCUCAUGUUGUUUUUAGUAGCCUACACAAGGCUACGUCACUCUAGUUCAGUGAGUUUUCCCCUCUCAAAUAAAAUAAUUUGUUACCCUGUACUCAUUCUUAACCUCGAGCCUGUACGAUGAUUUAAAAAUAUGGACUAUCUGGACAUUUCUUCGAUCUCCAGACUGUUGUUCAGGUGCUGGACCUUCAGAGCAGACAAUGCAACAGCUAUCACAAAUGAGAAAAAAAUUACACCAAUGAGGCCCAGGCAAACUCCAUACAGGAUUCUUAAUGGACGGACUACAAACUAACAGGGGAUGGUUAACCUUCUUGAGAAUAUUUGUUCCAUGUUGGAGGAAUGGCAGUAACCAUUUGCAUAUAUUUACGGCCCAGGGAUAAUGUUGCAGCUAAUGGGAGCCAAACUGAAAGCACUAAUUAGUUUUUGUAGUCUACUGUCACCAGCAAAGAAAGAAAAGGUGCCACAAUAAACAAGUUCUCACAAUGAACUUCAAGCCUGUAAUCUGAGUCAACACUCCCAUUUCAAGGUUCUGGGAAUUAUAAACUUCACCUAAUGCAAAUACAGACUCAGUAUUUAUGCUCUUCUUUGGUCAAACCAACAUUACUGGGAACCUUUAUUCAGUUUUUGUAUGAGUUUUAAGUAAACAUUUUGGUAGUAUUACUAGAUUGUAAAGAAUUAACUUUAAGACAAAUAUGAUUCAUAUAUAUAAUGCAGCAAGCAUACUUUAUAUUUAACACAAAAUUACACAGAAACCUCCAUAACUAUGUAAAAUCUCAAAUCUUUCAAUAUUUAGUGUGUCCACCCUUUAUUACAGCUCCCAUGCUUCAUAGGAGAACUGCUUUGGGUUUUUCAAAAAAAAAUCUGGAGGGAUAUUUUUCCAUGCUUCUUGCAGAAGUUGGUUGCUUUUCUGCUUCUGUCAAUCCAAGUAAUUGCAAACACAUUCUCAAUGAUGUUGAGGUCUGGACUCUGGGGUGGUCAGUCCAUUGUCCUUCUUCAGCAGUUUGAUCUUCUUAGCCAUGGGCUUGGGGUCUUGCUGUAGAAUGAAUUUGCUCCCAAUCAAAUGUUGUCCAGAGGGUAUUGCAUGAUAUGUUGAGACUUGUUCGUAUUGUAUUUAUCAGCAUUUAUGAUGCCUUCAAUUAACACCAAAUCACCAACUCCAGAUGUUGUUAUAUAACCCUAAACUUGCACUGAUCCUCCACCAUGAUUGAAUGCUGGCAGCAGACAUGGUUAUAAGUCUUUCAUUGCUUCAGUGGCAUACAUACUGCCUUCUCUUACUUCCAAAAAUUUCUCAUUUAGACUCAUCAGUGCAUAAACCUUACUCCAUACCAUCUCAGGUGUCCAGUUUGGGUGUACUAGUGCCAAUUUCCUUCCCUUUUGUUAAUUUAUUUUUUAUCAGUAGUGGAUUUUUGACAACUACACAUCUUUUCAGACUCAUAGCAUCCAUGUGUCUUCUUACAGUAGAAUGAUUGACAGAAACACCUGUGGAUUUCUUCAGAUCUGAAGCAAGAGAGGAGCUUCAUUUAAGUAUUGUCUUUGUGAUGGUGAUAAUUUUGGUGGUCUACCAAUUCUUGCACAGACAUUAAGAGCCCCAUUUACUCUGUAUCUUGCAAUAAUCUUUUGAACUGAAGUUUUGGAAACUCUAGAAACUGUUUUUUGCACUUAUUUUCCUUUCACUUUCCUAAUGCAGUUUAAUUAUCUUAUGUUUAAUCUCAUCAGAAAUAUCUCUUUUAACCUUUUUAGAUGCACAUGACAAAGGAAUCUGCAAGGCAGCUAAGGUGUGUUGAAUGUUGGAGUCAGGUUAGGUUCUAACAUAGUAUCACUAAAAUAUCAGGUAUUGCUGUUACAUUUUUAUGAGAUCUCAUUCAUUUUACCAGAAUUCUUUAUUAUUGGAAUAUACAUUGAGGUAAUACAUCCUAAAAUUGCAUUUUACAUAUUUUAGCAUAGUAGUACUAUGCUCAUAGUAUUAUGCUGCAUGCUGGCCAAUAGGUUUGCCUAUUAUUUCACCAUUUUCUGCAAGCAAAGGCUGGAUUAGAUUAGAUUUUUAAAAGUCUCAAAUCAGAAUUCACAUACCUCAGAAUUCAAGGAACACGCCUUGUUUUCAGAGAUUCUACCCCAAGUGCACAUCUUUCUUAUCCCCAUUGAAGUCACACAAGCUACAAUGUGCAUAGGAAAAAAGCAGAAGUUCAAGUUGAGCACAUGUAUCACGUGUUUUAGCCGUAGCUAUUUCAGGCCAGAUGCAAUUUAAUCCAAUCCGAUGAAUCAAUAAUUUAUUAUUAAUAUGUAUAAUCAAAGAAACAAGUUCAAAAAUGAUUUACUGAAUAGAGAAAUAUCAAGAUACUUGAGUCUUGCAACAUUUUGCCUUUGAUGUUUUGGGCAUAUAUAGUAUGUGUAAAUUUGUAUUUCUUUUUUGGAAACAUGGUUAAAAAAAACAAACAUAAGUUAUUAAGAUGAAACGUAUGGUAGCCCCAUCCCUCCUGCCCCCUAGUGGUAUGGGCCCACAGAACGACAAUAAAGCAAAUACCCACAAUUUAUUAAAGAAGACCAGGUCAAAACCUAAUAUAUGGCUGGACCGGCCGACCAAUGAUGCAACUUCAUAACUCAGCCGACCAAUGGUGUAACUUCAUCACUCAGUCACAGACAAUUGCGUUUAUGGGGCUGGCCCCACUGUUGCAGUCCAGCCAAAAAUGGGCCACUAACAUGCCACACAGAUUUGAGGUCAGCACCUACAACAGACUCCUUUCUGGCCAACAUACUCUGUCUAUGUACUUGUAUCUGAAAUCCACAAUGCCUUCGCUCAUAUUCAAGCUGACGCUGUUAGCUAGAUCAGGUGCAAUUUUCAACCCAAUCCAACGAGAAUCCAUUUAGAACAUGGCUGGUUUAUUCGACUACUCCAUGCUCUCUUUCGUACAGUAAUAUUGUGUGUAGCAGAUGUUUGCUUAACUGAGCAAUAGGUUUACGUACAAGACUGUAGCCUUUAAAAUGAGCCCUCAUUGGCGUCAUGAAGAUCAAAAAGCCAGCUAUUUUGCCCAACAACUUGCCAAGUUUGGCUAGUAGUUCAUAGUGCUUUUCGUGCAAAUAGAUGUUUACAAUUUCACAGUGGAUAAUUUCCGAUUUAUUAAUACAUUAAUAAUUUUUGCAAGAUAUUGACACUUAAGACAUGCUAAAAUGAAUUUCAGUUUCAUCAUCAAAUAUAUUUUGUUUGUGGGGGCAUUUUCCAUGACAUAGCUUCCCUGUACUGAGGUCAUACCAGACAGUCAAACUGGUUAGAAAGCCUGUGCACACAAUUUGACAGUGCUUUUGCCGCUGAUUAAAUUUUGCCAUCUUUAGACCAUUUCACAAGUUUUCUUAAAGCAUCAAGUACACCCCCCAUAUGGAAACACAGGGCUUUAACUGAGUCCAGUUUUGCCUCCCAUCUGGUAUCGCUUAGUGUUUUCAAAGUAAUUUCAACAAAUUCCUUUAAAAUGUCCCAUCUGUUAAAUGACUAGGAGAAGAUUGUGUACAGCCUCUGAAUAGUUCAGAAGAAAAUCGAACACUCUCCUUCCGAGGAUGCUGCAUCACACAAUAAAAGAUUAAGACUGUGGCUAGAACAAGUUAUUAAAAAAAAUGCCACUGCGUUUUUCUGAUUUAUUAAUACUUUUUCACCUUUGUGAAUCCUUGCAUAUUGGAACCAUUGUCACAACUCUGUCCCCAACAAUUAGCUAGUUCUAAUCCUACAUUUUCAAUCACACAGAUUAUGGAUGUCACAAUACCAUAAUUUUGGUGGUUGAUACCAUUACCAGUAAAAUUCCAUGAUACUCAAUACCUAAUUUGAUAUUAUUGUAAAAAAAUAAAUCCCAUGUGUUUCAGCAUACACUCCUUUAGUAAAAGCUAUGUAGCCUUCAAGUAUUUAACAAUAAACAGUAGCUUUAGAGUUUCUUCUUCAAGUACUUAUCCAACAAUUAUUCAAAUAAACAUUGUGCUUGCCGUCAGUAAUAUUUAAUAAUGACAACUAUAAAUAGCAACUGUAGCUUUAAAAUGGUGGUCCUUAAAAGAACUAAGUAACCAUCAUUCAAGUAAACUAGUAUUGGCAUUCCGUAAUAUCAAAAUACAAUGAACAGGUCCAGGCGGUGGGAAGGUCCCUGUCCCUACUAGAACACUGCAAUGAGCACCUUCCCCUUUCCACAGCUCUCUACAGCGAGAGUGUGAAACUCCACUGAGAAGUCUGCCACACAGUGCAUCCUAUCCAUAGCAGCCCACAAUGGCAGACUCCUAGGCUCAGGCCAGGUUAAGCAGCUCACCACUCCCCUUCUGCUUAAGGUUUUCAAUUCCCAUAAAGAAACACCUGGUAGACUCACUGGAGGUCUCUCUGGUGCUCGGACACCUGUGGCUUUCCCUGCACAACUCCCACACUGACUGGCCUGCAGGGACCUCUUAUUGUCUAACUCUCUCUACUAGUCUCCCCAGAGCCCCGCUGCCCGGGUCUCCAAAUCUGCAGCCUGUGCCUGCUUAUGGUAAGGAAGUCGACCUCUCCCUAGUGCUGCCUAGAUACUGGGCCCUCCACUUUGUGUUCAAAGCCAGCGAGCCAGAGAGGUACCACCUCAUCGGGCCUACGACUGUGCCAUUGAGCUGCUGCCAUGCUCCACCCUGCCUUGCGGAAGGCUCUUCUCCAUGUCUACCCCUGAGACUUCUGACACAUAAGAUUACAUUAAAGGCCUUAAUAAGAUUACGGUAAAUAACCAAAAUCCCAUACCUGUCAGGUUCUCUGCUUUUGAGUCUCUCUAGGGGGCAUCCAUCUUUCCCAAGCUGGACAUGCGCAGUGCCUACCACCUAGUGUGCAUCCGGGAGGGAGAGGAGUGGAAGACAACCUUUAGCACUCCCGCAGGGUACUAUGAGUACCUGGUCAUACCUUUCGAGCUCACUAACUGCCCCAUUGUCUUCAAGGCCCUCAUUAAUUACAUACUACGGGAGAUCCUCAACUGCUUUGUGUUUGUCUGUCUUGAGGACAUACUUAUCUUAUCCAAGACCUUGCCAGAGCAUGUUAACCACGUGCACUAAGUACUCACCUAAUACUUGAAACAUCAGCUCUAUGUUAAAAAAUGUGAGUUUGAUGACUGUAAGGUCUCCAUUCUAGGGUUCAUAGUUUCCAGGGGGGACCUGCAGAUGGAUCCCCAGAAGAUCUGUGUGGUGUUGGACUGGCCCCGGCCCACCUUGGUGAAGUUGAUCUUGCGCUUUUUGGGCUUUACCAGCUUUUACUGCCAUUAUUGGCUUCAGCACCCUGGAUGGCUCUCACAAAGACCUCUUCCCAGUUCUGUUGUUCUCCUGAAGCAGAGGAGGUGUUUCUGGAGUUACAAAAAUGGAUGAGCCUUAGUGCUCAUCCAUCCUGACACUGCUCUGCCCUUCACAGUCUAGGUUGACUCCUCUGACUCCUCUGAUGUGGGAGUAGGAGCAGUCUUCUCCCAGCAUUUUUACCAAGGACUUGAAGCUUUACCCAUGUGCUUUUUUCUAGAUGCCUAAGUCAUGUGGAGAAGAACUGCGACAUUGUGGACUGUGAACUGUGAACUCCUGGCUGUGAGGUUAGCUCUUGAAGAGUGGAGGCACUGGCAAACAGAAUAAUCAUCUGUUUGCUCCCAGUGCUCUGCACUCCCAGGUUCUCAUGUGGGUUCAUUCCUCUUGCCUGAUGGUCUACCCAGGAGCUUGGCGGACUAUGGACUUUGUGAGAAGAAGGUUCUGAUGGCCCUCUGAAUCCAAAUGUCCAGUCCUUUGUUGCUGCUUGUUCCACCUGCAUGCAAAGUAAGACCUCUUCCCAACCCCCUGCAAGUCUGUUACAUCCCUUGCCCAUACCCACCUGUCCCUGCUGUCACCUAUCUCUGGAUUUUAUUACUAGCCACCCUCCAUUGGAUAUGCUCAUCACCAUCCUUGUGUUUAUGGACAGGUUUUUGAAGGCUGUUCACUGUUCCUCUGCCUAAGCUCCCGUCCACUCGAAAGACUGUUCAAAUUGUCAUCUAGCAUAUGUUCAGGGUCCAUAGUCUCCCCUUGGAAAUUGUGUCUGAUCAUGUCCUUCAGUUCUCCUUCAGGUUCUGGAGGGCCUUCAGUUCUCUCAUAGGUGCCUCUGCCACUGCCAGCCUGUCCUCUGGGUUCCAUCCCCAGUCCAACAGUCAGACAGAGGGAAUCAACCAGGGCCUGGAGACCAUCCUCAUGUGCCACGCCGCUGCCAACCUGUCAUCUUGGAGUAAGCUACUCACCUGGGCUGAGUACACCCAUAACAACCUUCAGGGCUGUUGCUAUGGUUUCCAGUCUUCCCUGUUUCCUGCAUUGGAUGAAGAGGUAGGGGAGCCCUCUGCCUAAACCUUCAUCUGCUGCCUGUCGUUGAGUCAUGUCUGGGCAGUUCUCCAGUGUACUUUAGUCAGACACCAGUGGCAGGCUAACUAUCUGCGCCAUCUGGUUCCCCUCUAUCAAAAGGGGCAAAAGGUAUGGUUGUCGACCUGCGAUCUUCCCCUCCAGAUUGAGUCCCAGAAGUUGGUCCCCAGGAUCGUCAACCCCUUCAAGACCUUGCAUACAAUAAACCUAGUCACGUACAAAUUCCCCACCUUUCAUGUGUCAAGCCUCAAGCUGGUAGUAUCAUGCUCCUCCCACUCAAGUCACCUUCUCCUCAGAUCAUUGAGGAACAGCCCACUUACAUGGUCCACCGCAUCCUCGCCAGCUGCAAAGUGAGAUGCGCAACCCAGAACCUGGUCGACUUAGAAGGUUACAGGCCGGAGGAACAAUCCUGGGUUCCGACGCGGGAUAUCGUGGACCCUCUGCUCAUCUGUAACUUUCACCAGUGGUGCCUCGUGGUAAUGUCAGAGGGGUGUCAGUAAUUGUCUGCAUGUGUUUCACUAUGAAUUUAAGUUCCUGGUUUUCUUUAGUUUGGUCUUCAUGUUCUACUGCAUGGUUGCCCUAGCCACAAGUACCCCAUUUCUAAUUUUACUGGCAUCUCACGUCCUGUGCCUUGUUUGUUUAGUUUUUUGCUGAUAAAAAGCUUCAGUAAGGACUUAUUGUUUUACUUACUUCCACCUCCAUGUUGGUCUCUGCGUCUGGGUCCUAUCCUUUUGUGAGCCCUGACAGGUUCCUCUACACACUCGCAUGACAUGCCAGAAUUGCACAGGUUUAGUAAUUUAUGAUUAUUUCAUCUAUGGCCACUACUGAUUUGCUUUGACCUCCCUUUAGUUGGCUAAUGGUUGUUGUGGAGGAGGAUGAUGUGCUUAAGUCACUUAAGGCUAGCUAAUAUUAGCAUUAGUUAACCGGGUUAGCUAGCUAGCAAGGUUGUACAUAGCUAAUGUUACAGAGCUCGUCUGUUACCUCAAGUGUUCUUCUAUUCAUGUUGAAAGUUGAAUGAAUGUUGAAAACAUGUUGUAAGUCAAUAUCCUUGGACUAGCAAUGACUAGAAUGUUGACAGAUAAUUUAACAGUAGUUCCUAUAUAAUACUGCUAUGAUAGGACACCCUCAAAACAUCAAAACUGUUUUUUUUUUUACCAAGUUAAUUUUGCAGUGACAUUCAUCUACAUAAAGAUUAACAAUGGUUAAAACAAUGAUAGCAGCAAAUGUAAUUGUGAAGACUUGUGUAACAAAAUGAUCGAUACUGUGUUUUGAUAUUUGUUCAUGCCUGUCUGUAUACCAUGGAUUUCCAAAUCAACACACUCACAAGCAUGAGUCUAUGUAGACCUCUGAACUGUCAUUACCAAAAUAGCUUGCUGAACAUAAAUAAACAAUUCAUGACACUGCA